AUGGAACCGGUCUCUUAUAAUAGGAUUUUGUUGGAGACAGAAGCACCCGACGCGCUACCAAAGUCAAACAUAUAUUCUCUUUUCUUUGUUGAAGGAGAUACAUCUCUUGUCGAAGAGAUUUAUGGGCAAAGAACAACUUCAUCCUCAACUUCUGAUUCUUCUCCCACUAAUUCCGUUGCCAGUGAAUUUGCAGCAGGGGUGGCUGAAGAAGUUGAUUUGUAG